rnacentral:rRNA from 1 species
UGGUGGGGUAACGGCCUACCAAGCCUAAGAUCCGUACGGGCCAUGGGAGUGGGAGCCCGGAGAUGGACCCUGAGACAAGGGUCCAGGCCCUACGGGGCGCAGCAGGCGCGAAACCUCCGCAAUGCGGGAAACCGCGACGGGGUCGGCCGGAGUGCCGAUGCUUGCAUCGGCUGUCGGGGAGCCUAAAAAGCUCCCCAUAGCAAGGGCCGGGCAAGGCCGGUGGCAGCCGCCGCGGUAAUACCGGCGGCCCGAGUGGCGGCCACUAUUAUUGGGCUUAAAGCGUCCGUAGCCGGGUUGGUUAGUCUCCCGGGAAAUCUGGCCGCUUAGCGGUCAGAAUUCCGGGAGAUACUGCCAGCCUAGGGACCGGGAGAGGCCGAGGGUAUUCCCGGAGUAGGGGUGAAAUCCUAUAAUCCCGGGAGGACCACCUGUGGCGAAGGCGCUCGGCUGGAACGGGUCCGACGGUGAGGGACGAAGGCCAGGGGAGCAAACCGGAUUAGAU